CGCUGGCGGCGUGCUUAACACAUGCAAGUCGAACGAGAGGAGAAGGAAGCUUGCUAUUAUGGAGCCUAGUGGCAAACGGGUGAGUAACGCGUAGGCAACCUGCCCUUCAGAUGGGGACAACACCUCGAAAGGGGUGCUAAUACCGAAUGACGUUUCCUAGUCGCAUGACCUGGAAACCAAAGGCCGGGCAACCGGUCACUGAAGGAUGGGCCUGCGUCUGAUUAGCUAGUUGGUGGGGUAACGGCCCACCAAGGCGACGAUCAGUAGCCGGUCUGAGAGGAUGAACGGCCACAUUGGGACUGAGACACGGCCCAAACUCCUACGGGAGGCAGCAGUGGGGAAUCUUCCGCAAUGGGCGCAAGCCUGACGGAGCAACGCCGCGUGAGUGAAGAAGGUUUUCGGAUCGUAAAGCUCUGUUGAGAGGGACGAGAGAUAUAAUCAGGAAAUGGGUUAUAGAGGACGGUACCUUUCGAGGAAGCCACGGCUAACUACGUG
rnacentral:rRNA from 1 species